UGUGUAAGCGCAGAGAUGCGUUUAGCUAACCGGUUCUAAUGAAACGUGAGGCUUAACCUUACAACGCUGAAG
rnacentral:rRNA from 1 species